rnacentral:tRNA from 1 species
AGCGGGAUGGAGCAGUCAGGUCAGCUCGUGAGGCCCAUAACCUCAAGGUCGGUAGUUCAAAUCUACCUCCCGCUA